ensembl:lncRNA
AUCAGGCACAGCUUCUUUUUAAAUGGCAUUGUGCAUGUUCUUGGUCUCUAUAACGUGUGUAUUUCUGAUGACAGGUUCUGGACCUCUGAUAAGGACUGCAAAUGCAGAUACAUUCAAAGAAUAUAUCAAUUCACUUUCAGCAUCAGUUGCUGGAAACUUCUCAGACAUGUUCCUGUCAGAACUCCUGGUGUGUCAUUUGGACCAUGAUUUAAAUCUUCAUUCAGCUUGAAAAAAGUUCACACUGAAAUAAGCACACACAAAACAAAUGUUAUGAAAGAUAGAUAUGAAAUUAUUGUGAAUAAUUAGGUGGAGCUUUGAUAUCCAUAAUAAAUAAUGAGUCAAAGAAGUGAUUAUACUCUUAAAGCUUCCUGUUUGUUCUGUUUCAUGAAUCUAUAGCUGACAUUGACAAGAGUUCCUCCAUCAUCAGACAUUUUUGUGUUAACUGAUGCUUCAGCAAAGGACACAGAAUUAAAAAGUUCAGUUAAGGCCAUGAUAGAAAGCACCAAGUCAACAGUUAACUUCCUGCUUACAAGCUCCUUAUUGCGUAGUGAAGAGGAUGCUUCUCUAUCAAGAUCACUGUCUCUGUCAGAUAUACAGCUGUACAGGGAUCUGGCCCACGUUUCUGGUGGACAGACCAUAGACGUCACAAACACUACAUUGUCUCAAGCCAAUGCAGUCAUUACAGAUGCUAUCACUGCUGACCUGGUAAUUUCUAUCAAUUCUUUGAGCUCGCUAUGUUGACUCCUAUCAUCACUAUUAUAAUAAGAUGUCUUUCAUAAUUUGCCAUAAAUAUAAAUUUGCAUUAUGCAACUAAUCUUAUCCUAAUUUAGAUGCUUUGUUGCAGUUUUAUGUUGUUCUUAGAAGUAAUUGUCACCUUUUGAGUCACCUUCAUUUAUAUAGCACUAUAUACAGUACAGAUUGUGUCAAAGCAGCUUUAAAGUUUUAAACAGGAGAGUAAUGUUUUAGUGAUAUAAACAAAAUUAAGUUCUACUGUAAAAAACAAGACAAUAGUAAAAAGUCAGAUUUUUUUCAGUUAAAAUCAGUUCAUUGUUGAUUUAGUUCAGUUUAAUAACUGUGUUAAUUCAUCAAUUAUAGAAUGAGUUCAAUUAAUCUAUAAAGCAGUUCCAGAGAAAAUAUGGAUGUCAUUAUCCAUCUCAGUUCAUUUCUCAUCCCAAUAGUGUCUGUGCAAUCAAUGUGAUAAUGUUGCCAAAUAUUAAGCAUCCCAAUUAAGCAAGCCAAAAAGCAACAGUGGAAAUGAACCCAUACUCUAUCGGUGACAGAAAUGGAGAAAAAAAACCUUUGGGAGAAACCAGG